rnacentral:rRNA from 1 species
UUGACCUCAAAUCAGGUAGGACUACCCGCUGAACUUAAGCAUAUCAAUAAGCGGAGGAAAAGAAACUAACAAGGAUUCCCCUAGUAACUGCGAGUGAAGCGGGAAAAGCUCAAAUUUAAAAUCUGGCGGUCUUGCGGCCGUCCGAGUUGUAAUCUGGAGAAGCGUUUAUCCGCGUCGGACCGUGUACAAGUCUUCUGGAAGGGAGCGUCGUAGAGGGUGAGAAUCCCGUCUUUGACACGGACAACCGGUGCUUUUGUGAUGCGCUCUCGAAGAGUCGAGUUGUUUG